GACGAACGCUGGCGGCGUGCCUAAUACAUGCAAGUAGGACGCACAGUUUAUACCGUAGCUUGCUACACCAUAGACUGUGAGUUGCGAACGGGUGAGUAACGCGUAGGUAACCUGCCUAUUAGAGGGGGAUAACUAUUGGAAACGAUAGCUAAUACCGCAUAACAGUAUGUAACACAUGUUAGAUGCUUGAAAGAUGCAAUUGCAUCGCUAGUAGAUGGACCUGCGUUGUAUUAGCUAGUAGGUAGGGUAAUGGCCUACCUAGGCGACGAUACAUAGCCGACCUGAGAGGGUGAUCGGCCACACUGGGACUGAGACACGGCCCAGACUCCUACGGGAGGCAGCAGUAGGGAAUCUUCGGCAAUGGGGGGAACCCUGACCGAGCAACGCCGCGUGAGUGAAGAAGGUUUUCGGAUCGUAAAGCUCUGUUGUUAAGGAAGAAACGAGUGUGAGAAAUGGAAAGUUCAUAC
rnacentral:rRNA from 1 species